rnacentral:rRNA from 1 species
CUCUGGUGUUCCGGUUGUCACGCCAGUGGCAUUGCCGGGUAGCUAUGUACGGACGGGGUAACCGCUGAAAGCAUCUAAGCGGGAAGCCUCCCCCGAGAUGAAGUCUCCCAGGACCCUUGAGGUCCCUAAAGGUCCGUCGAAGACGACGACGUUGAUAGGCUGGGUGUGGAAGCACAGCAAUGUGUGUAGCUAACCAGUACUAAUUGACCGUGAGGCUUGACCAU